UACGGAGGGUGCAAGCGUUAUCCGGAUUCACUGGGUUUAAAGGGUGCGUAGGUGGGUUGGUAAGUCAGUGGUGAAAUCUCCGAGCUUAACUUGGAAACUGCCAUUGAUACUAUCAGUCUUGAAUACCGUGGAGAUGAGCGGAAUAUGUCAUGUAGCGGUGAAAUGCUUAGAUAUGACAUAGAACACCAAUUGCGAAGGCAGCUCGUUACACGAAUAUUGACACUCAGGCACGAAAGCGUGGGGAGCAAACAGG
rnacentral:rRNA from 1 species